GUACUACUCCCUCCGUUUGGAAUUACUUGUCGUGGAAAUGGAUGUAUCUAGACGUAUUUUAGUUCUAUAUACAUCCAUUUCCGAGACAAGUAAUUCCGAACGGAGGGAGUAUCUA
rnacentral:pre_miRNA from 1 species